AACGGCCGCGGUAUAUUGACCGUGCAAAGGUAGCAUAAUCAUUAGUCUUUUAAUAGAGGGCUGGUAUGAAGGGUUUGACGAGGUGUUGACUGUCUCAUUUAAUUUGAUUUUAGAAAUUAAUUUUUCAGUUAAAAAGCUGAAAUAAUAUUGGAAGACGAGAAGACCCUAUAGAGCUUUAUAGUUGAGUUAUUAAUUUAUUUUUGUUUGUUCUUAUUUAUUAUUAUAUUAACUAUUUUGUUGGGGUGACAAAAAUAUAUAAUUAACUUUUUUAUUAAAUUAACAUUGAUAUAUGAUUUAUUAGAUCCAAUCUUAUUGAUUGAUAGAACAAGUUACCUUAGGGAUAACAGCGUAAUCUCCCUCCAGAGUUCUUAUUUACAGGGAGGCUUGCGACCUCGAUGUUGGAUUAAGAUUAUAAUUAGGUGUAGCCGCUUAAUAAAUAGGUCUGUUCGAC
rnacentral:rRNA from 1 species